AGGAUGAACGCUGGCGGCGUGCCUAACACAUGCAAGUCGAACGUCCUGUCUCGCAAGAGGCAGGGAGUGGCGGACGGGUGAGUACCACGUGGGUCAUCUACCGUGAGGUGAGGAAUACCGGCGAGAAAUCGCCGACAAGACCGCAUAGGCUCGAUGCAAGUCGAGCAAAGCUCUUUCGAGAGAGGGAGCGCCACACGAGGAGCCUGCGCCCGAUUAGCUAGCUGGUGGAGUAACGGUUCACCAGGGCGACGAUCGGUAACUGGUCUGAGAGGACGAUCAGCCACACUGGGAUUGAGAACGGCCCAGACUCCUACGGGGGGCAGCAGUGAGGAAUUUUCGUCAAUGGGGGCAACCCUGAACGAGCAACGCCGCGUGCAGGAGAGGUUUUCGGAUCGUAAACUGUCUUUUCGUCGGGAAGAGAACGGACGGUACCCGAGGAAUCAGCCCCGGCUAACUACGUGCCAGCAGCCGC
rnacentral:rRNA from 1 species